rnacentral:rRNA from 1 species
AUUGAACGCUGGCGGCAUGCUUUACACAUGCAAGUCGAACGGCAGCGCGGGGGCAACCCUGGCGGCGAGUGGCGAACGGGUGAGUAAUGCAUCGGAACGUAUCCUGUAAUGGGGGAUAACUAAUCGAAAGAUCAGCUAAUACCGCAUACGCUAGGGAGAGGAAAGUGGGGGAUCGCAAGACCUCACGUUAUAGGAGCGGCCGAUGUCUGAUUAGCUAGUUGGUGAGGUAAAGGCUCACCAAGGCGACGAUCAGUAGCUGGUCUUAGAGGAUGAGCAGCCAAACUGGGACUGAGACACGGCCCAGACUCCUACGGGAGGCAGCAGUGGGGAAUUUUGGACAAUGGGGGCAACCCUGAUCCAGCCAUGCCGCGUGCGGGAAGAAGGCCUUCGGGUUGUAAACCGCUUUAGUCUAGGGAAAAGGAAUGCAGGAUUAAUACCCUUGUGUUUUGAUGGUACUGGAAGAAUAAGCACCGGCUAACUACGUUACAGCAGCCGCCGUAA